rnacentral:rRNA from 1 species
GAGUUUGAUCCUGGCUCAGAACGAACGCUGGCGGCGUGCUUAACACAUGCAAGUCAGGGAGAAAGUCUCUUCGGGGAUGAUUAAACCGGCGCACGGGUGAGUAACACGUGAGUGACCUGCCUUUUAGACUGGGACAACUUACCGAAAGGUGAGCUAAUGCCGGAUGAGUUAUAUAAGUGCAUGUUUAUAUAGGAAAAGUUGGGGAGACCUGACGCUGAAAGAUGGACUCGCGUCCCAUUAGCUAGUUGGUAGGGUAAUGGCCUACCAAGGCGACGAUGGGUAGCCGGCCUGAGAGGGUGGCCGGCCACACUGGGACUGAGACACGGCCCAGACUCCUACGGGAGGCAGCAGUGGGGAAUUUUGCGCAAUGCUCGUAAGAGUGACGCAGCGACGCCGCGUGAAUGACGAAGGCCUUCGGGUCGUAAAGUUCUUUCGACAGGGAAGAAAAUGCCUAUAAGUAACUGUGUAUGUAUUGACGGUACCUGUAUAAGCAGCCCCGGCUAACUCCGUGCCAGCAGCCGCGGUAAUACGGAGGGGGCGAGCGUUGUUCGGAGUGACUGGGCGU